CCUACGGGAGGCAGCAGUGGGGAAUUUUGCGCAAUGCUCGUAAGAGUGACGCAGCGACGCCGCGUGAAUGACGAAGGCCUUCGGGUCGUAAAGUUCUUUCGACAGGGAAGAAAAUGCCUAUAAGUAACUGUGUAUGUAUUGACGGUACCUGUAUAAGCAGCCCCGGCUAACUCCGUGCCAGCAGCCGCGGUAAUACGGAGGGGGCGAGCGUUGUUCGGAGUGACUGGGCGUAAAGAGCACGUAGGCGGUGUUGUAAGUCAUUAGUAAAAGACUAGAGCUAAACUUUAGUAAGGCUAGUGGUAGUAUAAUACUAGAGUAUCAGAGAGGAUGGCAGAAUUCGUGGUGUAGCGGUGAAAUGCGUAGAUAUCAGGAGGAAUACCGUUGGAGAAGGCGGAAAUCUGGCUGGAAACUGACGCUGAGGUGCGAAAGCGUGGGUAGCAAACAGGAUUAGAUACCCUUGUA
rnacentral:rRNA from 1 species